rnacentral:lncRNA from 1 species
GAAGUCCAGAUACAGGCAAUUUAGGACUGAUGCAGAUGUUUGGUACUACCAUCAAGAACUGAUGCUCUUUCAAUAUUUCUUCUCUUCUAUCAUUGGCAUGUUGGCUUAAUCUUCAUGCUUCUCACCUCUUGCUUACAGAGUGGCUAAUGCUUAAUGCCUCAGGUCCCUACUGAGACAGGAGCAAGAGAUCAAGAAGAAAGGAAUAUAAGAAGAAUUCCAUUUAUGUUUAUUUGACCUCAUGGAGAGGGGAUUGGAUAAAUGGAAUUUUCACUCUUUACAGACUUUAAAGAAGAAUCAGAAAAUGGAGACUGGGAUUGGAAGCAGAGAUCCGAUGGCCAAAUUACAGAGUCUGCCACUGAAGCUAACACACCUAUGGAUAACCCAACCUGUAAACUCAAUGUGGAACACAGUUUGAGAAAAGAAGUGAGAAGAUUCAAUUUUGAAGUUGGAUCACUCUCCUACAGGCAAUGAAGACCACAUCACUGAUGGUAGGGUGAAUGUUCUCGUACCUCACAAAGUGGCAGUCCACUUCUUAAAACAUCCACUAUGCAUGGAGAAAACCAUGGUGAUAAGGAUAAUGGACUG